CUUUGCUUAAUAAAUCUUGUGGGGUGGUUAUUUGUGUGUCUCAUCCAAUUCUUUGUUCAUAACACCAAGAACCUGGAACUCCCAACUUCCAAUCUGGUAACAUAUUUUGGUGAGCCAGCCAGGAGGGUCAAGCCUGCAAUACCUAAAGCUCCAGACCUGGAACCCAAAGCUCCCAUCAGUCGCUACCCUGUGAACCUGUGGAGGAUCUGAAGUACCUGUUUAAAAGGCAUCCAAAAGAUAGAAUCUAUCAAGCUACAAAUGGCUAUGUUGCCUGAAGCCCCAGACAUCAUCCUACAAGAAAUAAGUCCAGACUUCUUAAUUUCCCCCUGGAUAGAGCAGGGUGAUACUGUGGCCUGGGUGAAGACAUCGUAUCCUCUGUGUGUAACAGUGAUAAGAAGGCUUACCUCGCAGGGUUAUUACAAGACAAAUGAAAUAACUUUGGCACACUAUUAAAGGCUUCGUGGAUAAUUAAAGCUUCACAAAAACCUUGAUGAGA
rnacentral:lncRNA from 1 species